rnacentral:rRNA from 1 species
CAGCCGCCGCGGUAAUACGUAGGGUGCGAGCGUUAAUCGGAUUUACUGGGCGUAAAGCGUGCGCAGGCGGCCCGUUAAGACAGGUGUGAAAUCCCUGGGCUCAACCUAGGAAUUGCGCUUGUGACUGGCGGGCUCGAGUACGGUAGAGGGGGGUGGAAUUCCUGGUGUAGCAGUGAAAUGCGUAGAGAUCAGGAGGAACACCGAUGGCGAAGGCAGCCCCCUGGGCCUGUACUGACGCUCAUGCACGAAAGCGUGGGGAGCAAACAGGAUUAGAUACCCUGGUAGUCCACGCCCGAAACGAUGGGUACUAGCCGUUUGGUGCGCGAGAGCGCUGAGUGGCGAAGCUAACGCGUGAAGUACCCCGCCUGGGGAGUACGGCCGCAAGGUUGAAACUUAAAGGAAUUGGCGGG